rnacentral:lncRNA from 10 species
GCACAUGCGCAGAAUCAUCGUGGUGCACGGCUCUCCCUUUGCUUCUUCGGUUGCAGUCCUCUUGCUUCUUGCGCGUGCGUGUAGCGCUUUUGCAAAGCCGCGGAGGUGAAGUGAACUUAGAGGUUGUGGGGCCGAGGGGUCGUCUUAUAGCUACCAGCCCACAGGCAUUUAGUCUACGUUGGAGGUAAACAAAUACGGGUCCUGCUUAGGAGAAAAGAAAAACGUCUUACAGCCAGUGUCUAAACUCCAAACAACGGAAUGUAUCAAUGAGACCUUGUAUAUGGAUACACGUGCAUUUAAAACCGCCCUGCCGGCUUGUAGAGCUUUUGCCGUUCUCCAGCGCUUUACAGGGGUUAUCGCACUUAAGCCUCGGAACAACUUUACCAGAUGAGGACACCUGAGGUUCAGAUUAAGAAAUCUGCCCCAAAGUCUUAGAACUGGUAUUCUCCACUGGUUGAAUGCAAAUGGAAGCCAGAGGAAAAGGGAACCCUUGACACAGUUUUCAUAUAGAUUGGCCUCCAGGGCAGACAGCAGUUGCUCUGGCUAUAUCAAAUAAAAGUGUCAAGAGUGAGCAUCCUUGCCUUGUGCUGAAUCACAAAGGAAUACCUUUCAGUUUUUCUCCAUUGAUUAUGAUAGCAGUGGGCUUUUCACAGUGGGCUUUACUGUGUUGAGGUACCCUAAUGACAAGUUCACCCCAGUGUUUUCUGAGGAGUCUACCUGGAAAUGAGAACCAUCUGUCCUUCCUAUAGUAGUUCUUCUCAGAAUGCCGACUCUAUGCUAAUGGAGGAGGUCUGAUGGCCGGGAGGACAGGAAGAAGGAACCCACAAUGAAGCAAAAGUUGCGUUUAACUCUGUCCUCACCAUUCCUCUCCUGGACCUGUCCUAAACUGGAAGCUGGGGGAGGAUGGAGUGCUGGAAUGCUGCAGAAGUCUCAUGGGAGGGCGCCUGGUGUUCACCACAUGUGUACACUGUUGCACGACCAG